CAUGCAGUCGAGCGGACAGAAGGGAGCUUGCUCCCGGAUGUUAGCGGCGGACGGGUGAGUAACACGUGGGUAACCUGCCUGUAAGACUGGGAUAACUCCGGGAAACCGGAGCUAAUACCGGAUAGUUCCUUGAACCGCAUGGUUCAAGGAUGAAAGACGGUUUCGGCUGUCACUUACAGAUGGACCCGCGGCGCAUUAGCUAGUUGGUGAGGUAACGGCUCACCAAGGCGACGAUGCGUAGCCGACCUGAGAGGGUGAUCGGCCACACUGGGACUGAGACACGGCCCAGACUCCUACGGGAGGCAGCAGUAGGGAAUCUUCCGCAAUGGACGAAAGUCUGACGGAGCAACGCCGCGUGAGUGAUGAAGGUUUUCGGAUCGUAAAGCUCUGUUGUUAGGGAAGAACAAGUGCAAGAGUAACUGCUUGCACCUUGACGGUACCUAACCAGAAAGCCACGGCUAACUACGUGCCAGCAGCCGCGGUAAUACGUAGGUGGCAAGCGUUGUCCGGAAUUAUUGGGCGUAAAGGGCUCGCAGGCGGUUUCUUAAGUCUGAUGUGAAAGCCCCCGGCUCAACCGGGGAGGGUCAUUGGAAACUGGGAAACUUGAGUGCAGAAGAGGAGAGUGGAAUUCCACGUGUAGCGGUGAAAUGCGUAGAGAUGUGGAGGAACACCAGUGGCGAAGGCGACUCUCUGGUCUGUAACUGACGCUGAGGAGCGAAAGCGUGGGGAGCGAACAGGAUUAGAUAUUUUGUGUGGAUGUUCA
rnacentral:rRNA from 1 species